rnacentral:rRNA from 1 species
UACGUAGGCAGCAAGCGUUGUUCGGAGUUACUGGGCGUAAAGAGUGCGUAGGCGGUGUCGCAAGUUCUGUGUGAAAUCUCCCGCUUAACUGGGAGGGUGCGCCGAAAACUGCGAUGCUGGAGUGUGGGAAAGGCAAGCGGAAUUCCUGGUGUAGCGGUGAAAUGCGUAGAUAUCAGGAGGAACACCGGCGGUGUAGACGGCUUGCUAGACCAUAACUGACGCUGAGGCACGAAAGCGUGGGUAGCAAACAGGA